rnacentral:rRNA from 1 species
GCGAACGCUGGCGGCAGGCCUAACACAUGCAAGUCGAACGAACUCUUCGGAGUUAGUGGCGGACGGGUGAGUAACACGUGGGAACGUGCCUUUAGGUUCGGAAUAACUCAGGGAAACUUGUGCUAAUACCGAAUGUGCCCUUCGGGGGAAAGAUUUAUCGCCUUUAGAGCGGCCCGCGUCUGAUUAGCUAGUUGGUGAGGUAAAGGCUCACCAAGGCGACGAUCAGUAGCUGGGCUGAGAGGAUGAUCAGCCACAUUGGGACUGAGACACGGCCCAAACUCCUACGGGAGGCAGCAGUGGGGAAUCUUGCGCAAUGGGCGAAAGCCUGACGCAGCCAUGCCGCGUGAAUGAUGAAGGUCUUAGGAUUGUAAAAUUCUUUCACCGGGGACGAUAAUGACGGUACCCGGAGAAGAAGCCCCGGCUAACUUCGUG